rnacentral:rRNA from 1 species
AGUGAACGCUGGCGGUAGGCCUAACACAUGCAAGUCGAACGGCAGCACAGAGGAGCUUGCUCCUUGGGUGGCGAGUGGCGGACGGGUGAGGAAUACAUCGGAAUCUACUCUGUCGUGGGGGAUAACGUAGGGAAACUUACGCUAAUACCGCAUACGACCUACGGGUGAAAGCAGGGGAUCUUCGGACCUUGCGCGAUUGAAUGAGCCGAUGUCGGAGUAGCUAGUUGGCGGGGUAAAGGCCCACCAAGGCGACGAUCCGUAGCUGGUCUGAGAGGAUGAUCAGCCACACUGGAACUGAGACACGGUCCAGACUCCUACGGGAGGCAGCAGUGGGGAAUAUUGGACAAUGGGCGCAAGCCUGAUCCAGCCAUACCGCGUGGGUGAAGAAGGCCUUCGGGUUGUAAAGCCCUUUUGUUGGGAAAGAAAUCCAUCUGGUUAAUACCCGGGUGGGAUGACGGUACCUAAAGAAUAAGCACCGGCUAACUUCGUGCCAGCCGCCGCAGUAA